rnacentral:rRNA from 1 species
AUUGAACGCUGGCGGCAGGCCUAACACAUGCAAGUCGAGCGGCAGCGGGAAAGUAGCUUGCUACUUUUGCCGGCGAGCGGCGGACGGGUGAGUAAUGCCUGGGAAAUUGCCCAGUCGAGGGGGAUAACAGUUGGAAACGACUGCUAAUACCGCAUACGGCCUACGGGGGAAAGCAGGGGACCUUCGGGCCUUGCGCGCUUGGAUAUGCCCAGGUGGGAUUAGCUUGUUGGUGAGGGAAUGGGUCACCAAGGCGACGAUGCCUAGCUGGUCUGGGAGGACGAUCAGCCACACUGGAACUGAGACACGGUCCAGACUCCUACGGGAGGCAGCAGUGGGGAAUAUUGCACAAUGGGGGAAACCCUGAUGCAGCCAUGCCGCGUGUGUGAAGAAGGCCUUCGGGUUGUAAAGCACUUUCAGCGAGGAGGAAAGGUUGAUGCCUAAUACGUAUCAACUGUGACGUUACUCGCAGAGGAAGCACCGGCUAACUCCGUGCCAGCCGCCGCCGUAA